rnacentral:rRNA from 1 species
UACGUAGGGUGCAGGCGUUAAUCGGAAUUACUGGGCGUAAAGCGUGCGCAGGCGGUUUGCUAAGACAGGUGUGAAAUCCCCGGGCUUAACCUGGGAACUGCGCUUGUAACUGGCAAGCUAGAGUGUGGCAGAGGGGGGUGGAAUUCCAGGUGUAGCAGUGAAAUGCGUAGAUAUCUGGAGGAAUACCGGUGGCGAAGGCGGCAUCCUGGACCAUUGCUGACGCUGAGGCGCGAAAGCUAGGGGAGCAAACGGG